rnacentral:lncRNA from 1 species
ACCUCACGACGAAGAAACUGUUACCAUUUAAAAGGAAAAGUAACUUCGCUACAUAACAUCUACUAUUAACGCAGUCUAGGAAGGUUUUAUCCUGAAAUGCGUGCGGAGGAGGCUAGAGGGUGAAGGGUUUUUUCUCGGAAAUUACAGUCUUCCUCAACUCCCGCCUCCUCUCCACCCGGCGCUUCCCGUCACUUUGGAGGGACUCGAAGCCGUCCCAGGCCAUUUCUAUGGGUGACGACUUGUGGACUACCGUGAAGAAAUCAUUUAUGAUGGCGAGAACCCUGCUGGCCAUCUUAUAUGCCCCUAAGGACGGCAUAGAAGGAGCUGACUGCUGAAUAUGGCCCUGAGACUAUACUCUGGCCUGAAAAUGAACUUCAGGAAGCUACUUUAGAGAGAAGAGGGAUGCAGCUUCUCCUUUAACUUCCCUUAUUCCUGUGAUGACUGGAGCGCUCACAACAUUUUUAGGUCAUGAGAUAAUGCACCGUAAUGGAGGGCAGAGCAUCAAGAAAGAAGGAACCUCAGUUCCUGAUACAAUGAAGCACUAUAGCAACCCUGAAAUUUUUAGAUGGCUUGAAGACAAAUUGGAGAUGGCAGAAAAAAGACUCAGUGGCCUUGAAGGAAGCCAUGUGGAAUUGCCACAGAAGCCAAGGCUAGGGGUCAAAUUGGAGCUGUAGCCACUGGCCUACACCACAGCUUACAGCAACUCCAGACCCUUAACCUGCUGAGCAAAGCCAGGGAUCAAACCUGCAUCCUCAUGGAUACUAGUCAGAUUCAUUUCCGCUGAGCCAUGCUGGGAACUCCAAGGAUUUCUUUCAAAGGAUUUUGAGGAUUUCCUAGACGUCAAAAGCCUUAAAAUCAGUACCCUAACCUGAUACAGUGUUUAUACAUGAACAUAUGGUGGUUCAACUUUUUGGAGGGACUGCAUGUCAAUUUAGUUACAGUCUAAACAUUCAUACUGUUUGACUCAGCAAUUUUACCUCUAGCAAUUAAUGGUAUACAAAUAAUCAUCUAAUCAAACUGACAAGAUUUUGCACAGCAAAGGAAACCAAAAUGAAAACAAAAAGACAACUUACAGAAUGGGAGAAAAUAGUUUCAAAUGAUGCAUAUGACAAGGGCUUAAUCUCUAAAAUACACAAACAACUUAUACAACCCAACAGCAAAAAAGCCAACAACCCAAUUGAAAAAUGGGCAAAAGACCUGAAUAGACAUUUUUCCGAGAAAGAUAUAUAGAUGGCCAACAAGCACAUGAAAAAAUGCUCAACAUCCCUGAUUAUUAGAGAAAUGCAAAUCAGAGCUACCAUGAGAUACCACCUCGCACCAGUCAGAAUGGCCAUCAUUAAUCCACAAAUAACAAAUGCUGGAGGGGGUGUGGAGAAAAGGGAACCCUUCUGUACAGUUGGUGGGAAUGUAACCUGGUACAACCACUAUGGAGAACAGUAUGGAGGUACCUUAGAAAACUAUACAUAGAACUAUUGUAUGACCCAGCAACCCCACUCUUAGGCAUAUAUCCAGACUUUCCUUGAAAAAGACACAUGCACCCAUUUAUGUUCACUGCAGCACUAUUCACAAUAACCAAGACAUAGAAACAACUCAAAUGUCCAUGACACAUGAUAGGAUUAGGAAGAUGUGGUAUAUAUACGCAGUGGAAUACUACUCAGCCAUAAAGAAGAACAGAAUAAUGCCAUUUGCAGCAACAUAGAUGAAACUAGAGACUCUCAUCCUGAGUGAAGUAAGUCAGAAAGAGAAAGACAAUACCAUAUGAUAUCACUUAUAUCUGGAAUCUAAUAUAUGGCACAAAUGAACCUUUCCACAGAAAAGAAAAUCAUGGACUUGGAGAAUAGACUUGUGGCUGCCAAGGGGGAGGGGGAGAGAGUGGGAUGGAUUGGGAGUUUGGGGUUAAUAGAUGCAGACUAUUGCUUUUGCAAUGGAUAAGCAAUGAGAUCCUGCUGUGUAGCACUGGAAACCAUGUCUAGUCACUUAUGAUGGAGCAUGAUAAUGUGAGAAAAAAGAAUGUAUAUAUGUAUGUAUAACUGGGUCACCAUGCUGUACAGUAGAAAAUUGACAGAACACUGUAAACCAGCUAUAAUGGAAAAAAAGAAAAAUCAUUAUAAAAAAAUAAUCAUUCAAGGGGAAAAAGAUAUGUGAACAGGAUAUUUAUUGUAGCAUUGUUCAUAACAGUAAAAGAUUGAAAACAAUGCAAGUAUUUAUACAUAUGGAAUAGGUUAGCAUAAUGAUAUUCAUGUAUUGGGAUAUUACAGUGUUUUAAAAGAAAGCGAUGGAAAGAUGUCCAAGAUAUAAUAAGUGAAAAAGCAACUUAUAAAACAGUAUGGUUCAAUUUGUAACUCAAGUAAUGUCAAUAAAUAAAAGAAAACCAUUGCCUUGACAUAU